CUGACUCCAGGAUAGGAUUAAAGCAGCAGCAGUUAAAGCCUAAUCCAGCAGUAAAACAAACUGUAAAUAAAAUGUCAUGCUCUCCCGAAAACAGUGUCGCAUGACAUGUUUACUGCCGAACUGCAGACACACCGAUAGUGUCAGGAACAUGCUGUAUCCCAAUAGCCAGUAAAUGGCAACCAACAGCCAUUACUUCUGUUAAUGACAACCAGGUUUCUGAGCACAGGAGUUGACUAACAUUGGUUUCGCAUUCUACAAUGGCCAAAGCUGCAAGAAGCUUUUGCAGAACCAGCUGGCAAGAUUCCCAGUGCAUAAUAAUCAGGGUGUGCACCCUCUCGCCAACAUUAAACUGACACGAGUCAAUGCAAACACCCAUUUGGACAAGUCGACCAGGUAGCUGCAGGGAAGCCCAGGCCAUCACAGAAGCCAGCCUUCCAUCCACGGACUCCAUUUACUUGGCUCACUGCUGGAGAAAGGCUGCCAUCAUCAUCAAAGACCCAUCGCACCCUCGGAAUGCUCUCCUACAACCUCUUCCAUCAGGCAAAAGAUCGAGAAGCUUGAACACAUGCACCAGCAAGUUUAGAACAGCUUCUUCCCAGCCAUUAUUAGACUGAUGAAUGAACUGUCUAGCCUCAAAUAAUGCUGAUCUUGCUAGUGUCAAUAAAUGUGGAACUGCAGUCCUUUCUGUCUCCUGAUCUUGCAUAGUUCUCACCAUGUGCAAUGUAACCUGUAUACCUCUGCCUAAGUCUUUUUAUAGCAACUUUUGAUCUGGACAUCUUCGCUUUCUAUGAUCUGCCUGCACUGCUCGUAAACAAAGCUUUUCACUGUACUCCAGUACACGUAAUAAUAAAUCAAGCAAUCAAAUAUUUUGCAGGUCCCAUUCAUUUCCUGAAUCAUAUUGUGAAUAACAUGAUAAGAUGCAGGAGCAGUAGGCCAUUCAGCCCAGUAAAUCUACUUUGCUAUUCAAUGUGAUUGUGAUCAUUCUGACAGUCCUCAAUUCCACUUUUCUGACUUUUCCCCAUGACCCUUUUCUCCCUGUAACAUCAGUAUCUUUUAAAAACGUUCUUUUGAUGUCUUUCUUAUUAAUUGAAGUAACUCUGGAAUUGGGGAUUGAAAAGGUUGGUUAAGUGGACACAGCCAUUGGAUGCACAAGGUCCCACAUCAAAUCCUCUGGGAAUUUGGCCAACACACAGUUGGUAACUGCCUGCAUCACGAGGGUGAGACACGUGUCAACUUGGUUACUAGGACCUUCCAGACGUUACACUUUAAUAACUCACUGUUGUAGAGCUUGAGAAAAACAUGCACAAAAAUUACGGUGUUCUUCACAACAGUACAUUAUUAUUUAUAUAUCGAUUUCCAGUUAAUAGCUUCCACGCUUGAUAAAGCUGUCAAUAGUUGACUCGUUUGGAAGAGUUCCCACAGAUGGCCAAGUUGGGAGUUCCUGAUGUUUGGACUCUUGGCCCAAAACUUCACACCUGCCUAUCACUGGCAUUUACUGUAUCACGAGGGUAGCUGGAAUUUGCAACAUGAUCAGUUGUAAUCACUGUAUUCCUUUAAAACUGUCAAGCACCUCUGCACCCUGGAAUGUUGCGGUCAGUCUGAGAGUCUCCGAAAAGAAUGAAGGAAUUGAUAAGGUUGCAAACACAUACAUUGGGGAGAAUUAAUUUACAAUUUUAUUUUACACAUAAUGCACAGGUGAAAAUCCCCUCACAGGUCUUGCAAACAAACAUCUUUAUUUUAAAAAACAUUUUGAUAAUGACUGUCCUUUAAUAUUGAAAAUUGACCCUAAAUUGUUUUACUGAAAUGCUAAAUACAUAGAUGUUAUGUCCUGUGUUUAGCAGGUGUUAAUGGAACGAGACUCUGUAAAUUGGUCUCGGUCAUUCUAUACUGAUUAAGGAUCUGUUUAUAUGAAUGGUGUCAUUGUGCAACAUAAACCUCAGUGUAGAUUUUUUGCAGCUUCAUGUUAAAACUGGUACGUGUGAAAAUGGUUGUGAUGGGUCUUAAUGUAUGAGCUAUUAUUCCAUUGUGUUUUUGUCUUGUCUAUUUUGCCUCCAUCAAAGAAAUUAAA